UAACCCCUCACCGUAAAACCUGUAUACUUUCCCAGAAAAUAGCAUAUAUAUAAACAUAUAUAUAAGCAAAAAUCUCAAAUCUCAAACCUUUAACACUUUUCAGAAAAAUAUAUAUAUAUAACCAUAUGAAAUCUCAAAACUUGAAUCCCAAAUCUUUAACAUUUUUCAAGAAAAACAUGCCAUGCCAUAAAUCAAAAUAUAAAUCAGGUGAAAUAAGGAAUCAAUCGGAGACCCUGCAGUUGGUCCUAUACGAUUAAUUCAAUAGCUCAAUAUCUCACUAAGCCGGAGUCACCACAGUGACCUAUACGGCCCUACUCUGCACAUCACUCGGAACUACGUAAGGUAGUCUGUACGAUGAAAGGUGUAAAAAUACGCUCUAGUGCUUCUCUCAUCAUAUCAUCAGCGCGCAUAACUAAGGUCACCCACUAGUCGGAAUCACGCCUAGUGAUCUGUACGACUAGCAUGUCGGAACCCUCACAUGGUCUGUACGACAUCCACCUACUUGGAUCCAAGGCGAGCGUGCGGUGUGGUGAAUAAAAUAAGCACUAACACCUAGGGUGCAGAUUAUGAGCUUCAAAUUAUAUCAACAUCAACCAAUUCAAUGCAUAAAUGAACUCACCUGACUUACCUUUGCCUCCACAGCACCAUGCAAUAUGUAUGCAUCAUAUAUCAAUCAUAUAAUUCAUAAACCAAUCCAUGAUUUUCAAAUAAUUCUAUGCAUGGCAUGUUCAAAACAUAUUUUCAUAUAAAACAUUUUCUGGGAAAAACAGUAGUAUAUAGGUAAUACGAAAACAAAACUGCCCACUCACCUGGAGUUCGCUCAACAACUCCCUAGCACCACACAUCAAGGCGUCAUGAAGAUUAGCGCCUAGAACAAUAAUCAAACCCAACCUCAGAAAUCCUGCCGAUAGAAUACAUAACUUAUAUAAGACACGUCACUACGUAGUUCGAUCCGGAUGAUCUGCAAUUCAGAUUUCAAAAUCCGAAACUUCCAGAGGUCCACAAUAUACCUCUAGGACAACAUCCUAAAAUUUCGUUACCAUCCAACGGUCGGAUCUCCGUCAAUUUCCAAAACUAAGUGACGGUUAACAUUCUAUUUUAUGAACUUACAAUUCUAAUUCCGGAAUAUCCGUAAAUCGGAUUCCCAAUCCGUAAGUUCCUAUAAUCCUCAAAUAUUACGUAUUACAAUGUAUCAAAGUUUGAUGACGAUCCAACGGUCGGAUCGUCAAUUCACAUUUUCACCUAACCCCGAAUCGUAACCAACUUAGGUUCAAUUAUUCAAUUUACGUCCAUCAAUUAUCAAAACAGAACCUAGAACCUUAAUCACAAGCUAAUAAUGACAUUGGCGGCCAUUGGCCACACGCCGCCGCGCGGGCCGCCGCGGGUGGCGGUUGGCCGCCCCCGGCUCGCCGGAAAAUUCAACUAUUUCCAAAAAUUACCAAAAUUUGCAGAUUUGAAGAUCUCAAUGAGUAGAACAACUUUCAUACCUGAGACCAAGGCCAAUUUGGCCUGGAAGUGCUUCAAUUUCACCAAAACCGUGAAGAACCCUAGAAUUUGGGUGUUUCCAAUUCGACCUUCAAACUUGUUCCAACGCCUCAAUUACCUCUUGGGCUUUGUUCUAGGUCCUAAAGGAAUGCUAAAGGUGUUAGUAAUUGAAAGAAAACAUUUCAAAAUUUGGAGAAUUUAAACAAAAGGGUCGCGGCACCCGUAGGGGUGUUCUUCGCGAAAUCACAACGAAAUUCAAUGAUUCUUGGGGUGAAACGUAAAGAGGGAAGGCCUAGAUGAUGAUUAGGAGUGGUACCUUGACUCAAUUCGUUGGAAAUUUGGACGGAAAUGGCGAAAACCCGCCGAUUUGGAAGCUUGGGUCGCGCGGUCAAGGGUGACCCAUUCCUCCUGUUCCCCCGCGCACCACUCUCCCUCCUUUCCCUCCUUUCCGUCCCCUGAUUGGUCAGCUUCUUCCUCUCCCUUCUUCUGGUUUGCUCUCACCUUCUUCUUCUCCGAUUGGGCAUUUCUGCCCAGUCUCUUCUUCUUUUCUGUUUUUCUGUUUCUUCUUCUCAUACACAUACACACACCAAAAACCUUUCCCUCAUCCCAGCCAUCCAUUUCAUUCAUCAAUAAAUCUGGGCCGUCCAAUUUCAUAAAAGAAUUUCUAUAUUUUACUAAAAUUAUAAUUCCUUAAAAUUCCAAAUUUCAAACGUUAAUAACUUCUUCGAUAUAACUCCAAAUCACGAACCGUCUGCGCCCACACGUCCGUAACGACGAGUACUACGAGGAUAUGUCAAGAAAACAAAUCUUAGAUGGCACGACACAACGAUUAACCUCGAAUGAUGUGCGUGCCUCGAAGGGCAUUUUUGUAAAAUCCUUUAUUAAAACUUUAAAAAUUCUUAAAAUUAGGGACGGGCUGUCACAAUCUACCCACCUUACAGAAAUUUCGUCCUCGAAAUUUACACAAUCUUUACAAUCCAUCAAUAUCCAUGAAACAGCCCGAAACACAUCUCUCUCAUUCGAUUCUUUGACUUUCAAGUAGUUUCUUCCACUGAAAGAUUCCUCCAUAAAUUUUCACCAAACUCAGAGUCUUGAAUAUCAUCCGUCCCCAAUUCUAACAAUUUCGAAACACAAGACAUAGCUUUCCCACGGCCUUAUGGCGUUACUCUAGGGAACAAACUGAAGGAACCAACAUACCCAAGAAGUUUAAACAGAUCCCAAUCUCCUUUUUUCCAUAAAACAAAUAAAUAACUGUUGCGCUUAUCUGGAAAGGUUGAUGUUCUCAUACUGAAGUAACAUGCGCUGACGUCACAAGUUAAUCAAUUAUUAUUCAAACUCCAACCUAACUAUUUGGUAUACGAGGAAGCUUGUCCAUGAAAUCCAUAGUAAUAUUCUCCCAUUUCCGCCGUGGAAUGGGAAAUGACUACAUUAUUCCAAAAGACUUAUUUCUUUCUGCUUUAACCUGAUGACUGAUGAUACGCCUACUAACAUACUUCGCCAUUCCUCUUUUCAUACCCGUCAAUAGUACAUGAACGAAUGGUAUGAUAAAUCUUAGUACUUUUGGGAUGCAUUGUAGAAGUGGAAUAAUGUACAUCGUCAAAAUUGCUUUAUUUAAUUCCACACCAUUAGGCAUAAACACUUUGUUCCCUUGCAUAAGCUUGCCAUCUGAUUCUCUAACUCUAAGGUCCUUCUUUAUCCCGUUAUUCCUUGCUUUAAAUAAAUUCUUAAAUUUCUUCGUCAAACGCUUGAGUAUCGAGUACGAUCUACCAAAUGGGUCCAACUUAGAAAUUAGCAAGUAAGGCUUAUUCUCGAUUUUUGAUACUCAACUUUACUCCAGUAGAUUUCAAAUCCACAAGAAGAUGAACAUAGCAAGCAUACCAAGCAUUAAUUCUCACUGGGGUCUUCCUACUAAAUGCAUCAGCCACAACAUUAGCUUGACCACCCUCGUCACACAAUCAUAAUCACUAAGCAACUCAUUCCACCUUUGUUGCCUAAGAUUAAGAUACCUCUGAAUAAACAGAUAUUGGGUACUCUUUUGAUUUGUAACAAUCAUGCACUUUUCUUCCCAUAAAGACAAUGUCUCCAAAUUCUCAAAGCAAAGAUGAUAGCUGCUAAUUCCAAAUUAUAAUUAGGGUAAUUCAUCUUAUGAGAUCCCAAUGGCCAUGAAGCAUAGGCAAUCAUCCUACCAUGUUGCAUCAACGCGCAUUCAAGAACAUUCAAAGAAGUAUUACUAUAGACCACGUAAUUACCACUAUCGUUUGGGAGUGCGAAAACAGAUGCAUGAGUGAGGGAAUACUUUACUUGCUGAAGCUCUACUCACAAUUUUUCAUCCCACUCAAACUUAACCUCUUUUCUCAUCAAUCUCGCCAAGGGCGAAGCAAUAAUUAAAAUCUUGGACGAACUAUCGACAAUAUCCUGCUAAUCCGAGAAAACUCUGAACCUCAGUCACGGUUGGCAAUUGUUCCAAAUUCUCAAUCGUUGCUACUCUUUUAAGAAUCCACUUGAAUACCUUAAGUAGAUAUAAUUAAUUUAUCCAACAUUAGCAUUUGCUAAACUUAGCAUACAUCAACGUUCCUUCAAUCUUUGCAACACCAACUUUAAAUAUCUAGCAUGCACUGCUCUAAUCUUAUCAAUCUCGUCAAUGGCAACAACAACAAACCGAUCUAGAUAUCACUGGAAUACUUCCUUCAGUAAGCUCAUAAAAGUAGCAGGUGCAUUCGUCACUCCGUAUGGCAUCCCAACUUGAAAUGACCAUAACGAGUCCUGGAUUCAGUCUUAUGGACAUCCCCACUGUUAAUCUUCAACUAAUAUCAUUCAGACCUCAAGUCAGUCUCAGAAAGUACCCAGGCGCCUCAGAGCUGAUCAAAUAAUAAUUAAUACACAACAAUGGAUAACAGCUCUCAAUCGUUACCCGAUUCAAUUACCUAAUAUCAAUGCCUAGCCUUAAUGUCCACUUUCUUCCUCACAAAUAAACCGGAGCUUUUCCAAUGUGAUAUAAUAAGUUGAAUGGAACUUUUAACUAAACCUGAACCAAUUUCUAACAUAGGAUUUGUACCUAAAAACAAUUCAAUAAUGGAACCCACAUCUCUGCCUGGCGGCAAUCUAGGUAAGUCAUCUGGGAAUACACCAAGAAAAUGUCUAACCAUCUUUACAUCUUCCAUACUAUUAGGAUCAACAUCAUUUAGCACCAUAUGAACUCAAUAUCUUGGCAGCCUUUUGAUAACAAUCUUCUUUGCUCUCUCAACAGGAAUAAUGGCAUAACUCACUCCACUUUACUUACCCCCAAAAGUAACCUCUGGUCAUCUAGGUCAACAAAAAUUAACUGAUUCCCCAUAGCAAUCUAGCUUGACACAAUUAUACUGCACCCACUGGUGCCAAAAAAAUCACCUCAAAAUCCAUAAUAUCCAACGGAAUAAAAUUCACUGACAUGACAUUUUUCACCAUCACUGGACACCCUUAAUAAACCAAAUCAACAUAAAGUGCCUUACUUGUUUACUUACUUAACGAAUCCAACAAAUAAGUUAUAAAUAUUACGGUCUGCAGCCCGCAAUACAAAUAACUCACUGUUGUCUCGAUAACUAAGUAACAAUUCCUGAGGGGUGUAAUAUUAUCAUCUUGUUCUUCCUUAGAAAUACAUAAAUACGCCUCGAUCGUGCUCCAACAUUACUUUCUUUGGCAACAUCGACCAUAAUAAGAAAUAUAUCAGCCGGAGUCAGCUAGAAUGACCUGUACGACUGAGUCUACAACUCGACCAUCCAUGCUAGCACAUAAGUCGGAGUCACAUAUAGUGACCUGUACGACUUACUCGUCAAUAUUUCCAAGUGAUAUGUUAAGGAAGACUAUUGGGUAACAACUGAUUCCAGGGACAAUUCAUACCUCUAUGUCCCAUCCGUCCACAUGAACACAUUCACUGAUUCCCACACUCUCCAAAGUGUCUAAUAUUAUACCUAUGGCACAAAGGUACAUUUCCCUUACUCGAGUCACCUUGUCUUUAAGAUCUGGGAUCACCCGUAAAUCUAUCACUUCGCCUCGGACCAGUGGCACUAAAACCUCAGUUGGAAGAAUUAGUUCUAACUUCACUUCUUUUGAAGCUCUGAGUCUUUCGACGUCCUUGAUAUGACGGAUCUUUAACUUUCUCACCUUUCCUCUAAUUACCAUUCUUUUCUUAUUCUUCUUUACUCUCGCUGAUCAUAUUCUCAAAGUCCUCAAAGCCCAACAACAUCUCGUAAACUCCUGGUAAAAAGUACAAUGGAUUGUGGUCGCCAAAGAACGUCACUUCUUCUUAUUAUCCCGCCAAAAAACGACAUAACACCUCGACCGGAUUAGUAACAACAUCCGAAUGGAAACAAGGCAAGUCUGUAUUCAAAUUUAACUUAUAAUCAGUCUCAAAGGUUCCUUUAGAUAAUAGACUGAAUCAUAGUGACAAUAAUUUCCCCCAAACUACUAUAUCAGGGAAUUUAGGCUCAUCCGAACUACGUGGCUCGCUAUGAGGCGGUAUAUAGUUCUGACAGAAGACACUAGGAAAUUCUCAAGAUGUCCAGAAUUGCAACCUAGGCUCUGAUACCAACUGACACACCCGUCCCGACACCCGUCCCGAAGUGAGGGCGUGCUGGCCGUCACGUGAGAGUGACGUAACCAUUUACAUAGUUCAGAAGCUUUAAAAAAAAAUUUCCAAUUACUAAGAUGACACACCCGAGGGUGAGUCCUACUUUUGUGAAUUCUGUCAGAACACCGUUGGAUUCCUCGUGGCCACCAAAGCUCUGCUAACUUGAACCUGGAGGGGCGCAAAACAAAAUUGAGUGGGUCAGUAAAAACAAAGUUUUUUGAAAACUUUUCAUUUAAAAUAUUUCUAACCCCUCACCGUAAAACCUGUAUACUUUCCCAGAAAAUAGCAUAUAUAUAAACAUAUAUAUAAGCAAAAAUCUCAAAUCUCAAACCUUUAACACUUUUCAGAAAAAUAUAUAUAUAUAUAUAACCAUAUGAAAUCUCAAAACUUGAAUCCCAAAUCUUUAACAUUUUUCAAGAAAAACAUGCCAUGCCAUAAAUCAAAAUAUAAAUCAGGUGAAAUAAGGAAUCAAUCGGAGACCCUGCAGUUGGUCCUAUACGAUUAAUUCAAUAGCUCAAUAUCUCACUAAGCCGGAGUCACCACAGUGACCUAUACGGCCCUACUCUGCACAUCACUCGGAACUACGUAAGGUAGUCUGUACGAUGAAAGGUGUAAAAAUACGCUCUAGUGCUUCUCUCAUCAUAUCAUCAGCGCGCAUAACUAAG
rnacentral:lncRNA from 1 species